AACAUUAGCUUCUGUAGAAAAGAUGUGUUAUCAAACUUUUGAAAAACGAAGCCAAGUAGAGCCGGAGACAAAGUUAAAACAUUAUUGUUUCCGUAUUAGACAUACCAAAACAAAGUUGGAAACUGAGAAAAACUAUCUUCCACAGCUUCAUUAUAAUGAAACCCAACGAACUUUGGACCACUGGUUGGAUGCCAUUUGUAUUGAUUUGGUAGUCUAGUUGACCUUGAUCCACUCGGAUAGUCUUCCACCAUGUCAUUACAAAUUGCAAUAUAGAAAAGCGCAAUCAUUCACCACUUAUCAGAAGGCAGAUUCCUUGUCAUCUAAGGCUUUAGCGUGAUAAUUUCCGCACCGGCGCAUCCAUAUCAUCAAUUUAAUUCCAAAUUAAAUUCUUUGUAUUUUUGGGUUUAUUAUUACUACUCUCUUGAAUUAUGCAAGUAAGAAUUGCAAAACUUUUUUUUUCUACUAAAGAAAUUCGCUGAUGCGUGAAUCCAUCAACUAAAUGGCUUGCGCCAAUAACAUUUUUCUACAAUCUGCUAAUUAGCAUACUUACAUCUCUGGCGGGAGCUCAACCUAUAGAUAGUUAUUUGCCGGUUUCUGAGUCAGUUGGUUUGCUAUGCUUGAGCGAUUGUUGUUUAUUACAAAACACAAAUUGCAGGUUCGAGUGCCACGCCCAAACCCGCACACAUAGAGUGAACAAAUAUUACUGGCAUGAGUUCAUGACUGGAAUAUUUGAUCAUUCACGGGACAAUCAAUUCUCAUAUCACCUAAAAACAAUCAAGGAAUAAAUUCUCCGCAAACUAAAUACAAGAAGUUUCCGCAACGAAGAUCGGAUUCUUUGCCGGCAGAUAUUCAGUUUCGAAGGUAAGGCAAUACCGAGCAGCACAAACAUCUCAGAGGUGAAACGUCUCAUCACACUUUGGGUUCGAUUACCUCCACACAGAUGAAGAAAUCAAGAGAAAUCGUACAACACAAUUAAGACCUGUAAAUGACGGUCUGCUUAGAUAAAAUAUAUAUUAUAAUUUGCACCUGCUAAGCACAUAUUCCUAUUUGAAAUAUUCAUUUGAAUAGAAAUGAAUAUGCACCUAUGAAUUUCCAUAGAUGCAGGUAAGUCUGUGUGUUCUCACAAUAGAAAGUGCAUUUCGGAAAAGUUGUUACCACUUGGCAAUAGUACGCUAAUUUUCCCAGAAAAAAUUUCUGGCUGCCGAUAUCAGUUUGAAAAUGGAAAAGAAAGUUUCCAUAAUUGAAGUGAUGUUGGUAUGUCUGAAGGUGGGAGCCUUUGUUGUUGUAUUGUUUGUUUUGCAACCGUGCAUCAGUAAUUAACACCUACUAAUCAUUUGCAAAUGACAUCAAACAACGUAAUUAAGUCAUUUUCAUACUAGUGCUGUGUAUAUAUGUAUGAGUUGCUUAGACGAAAGGUGAUCUUUUUAUCUUUUCCAGUUUCACUUAUUGAUCACUUGAACCCAAGUUUAAUAUUUACUCUCUAAUUCCACAUACACUUAAAAGUAUGGACAUGCAACGUCAACGUCUCUUGUAUUUCCUUUUAUAGUACGUGGGUGCGACGUAUUGAGUAUGUAAACAAAUAAAUAAAAUGUCUACCGGUUCCGAGCAUACUUAUCUCCUAAAGAAAUAUGCACAUGUCUUCAGUUCCUCCGGUUGCAUACUCUUACACCAAAUAUCGUUUGAAUUUGAACCCUAAACCAAGGGAGUAACAACAGCGGACUGGGUUUAUUGAUUUGUUAUGCAUCGGUGAAUGCAUCUGAAUGAACAUUGAACUGCAUACAUUUCACGCGGAUCUUAUGUAGAAAGGAAAUGGGGGAAGUCGGAACUACGGUUUGACUUUACAAUUCACUCAUUCACUCUUCUA